rnacentral:lncRNA from 1 species
CCUGAUUCCCAUUCCCGUUCCCGUUCCCAUUCCCGUUCCCAUUCCCUGAUUCCCCAUUCCCUGAUUCCCAUCCCCUGAUUCCCCAUUCCCUGAUUCCCAUUCCCUGAUUCCCAUUCCCUGAUUCCCCAUUCCCAUUCCCAUUCCCUGAUUCCCCAUUCCCAUUCCCAUUCCCUGAUUCCCGUUCCCCGCAGGACGUCCUGGGCUGUGUCUGCAUCAAUCCCGGGCGUCUGACCAAGGGCCGGGCCGGGGGCACCUACGGGCGGCUGCUGCUGCGGAGAGAGCGGCACCGGGAGAAUCCCGGGGAGAAUCCCGGGGAGAAUCCCGGGAAUGAGCCUGGGAACAGCCCUGGGGGCAAUCCCAGGGAUAAUCCCGGGGAUAAUCCCGGGGAUAAUUCCGGGGCCGUUCCCGGGGCUGAGCCCCGGAGCAGCCCCUGCGUGGCCGCCCAGGUGGUGAGGAUCUGAGGCAGGAGCGGGAACUGGGGAGAAACUCCUGGAACUGGGGAGAAAACAUCUGGAAUUGGGGAGAAAACAUCUGGAACUGGGGAGAAACUUCUGGAAUUGGGGAGAAAACAUCUGGAACUGGGGAGAAACUCCUGGAACUGGGGAGAAAACAUCUGGAAUUGGGGAGAAAACAUCUGGAACUGGGGAGAAAACAUCUGGAAUUGGGGAGAAACUCCUGGAAUUGGGGAGAAACUCCUGGAAUUGAGGAGAAAAUUCCUGGAAUUGGGGUGAAAACAUCUGGAAUUUUGGCGAAUCCCCCCAGUGUUUUGGCACACGCAGGAAUUUCACCCCGGGAAAAGGGAAUUUGGGAAUCCGGGCGCGGGAUCCUCCCCGUCCUGGCAUCACCCCUCACCCUCGUUAGAGAUUAAUUAACGCAAAACCAAUUAAUUACGGGCUCUGGAAAACACAAAGCUCCGGCUCUGACCCUUUUCCCAAACUUUUUGCCCCAAAUUUCCGACGACGAUGAAAAUGAAUUCCAGUUUUUGUCUCUCCCGGUGCCGUUUCCCGAGGGAUUUGGGGUUAAAAGCGGGGAAAUU